UACAGAGGUGGCAAGCGUUGUUCGGAAUUACUGGGCGUAAAGGGCGCGUAGGCGGUUCGUCAAGUCCUGUGUGAAAUCCCCCGGCUCAACUGGGGAACUGCACAGGAAACUAGCGGGCUUGAGUUCGGGAGAGGGAAGCGGAAUUCCGGGUGUAGCGGUGAAAUGCGUAGAUAUCCGGAGGAACACCGGUGGCGAAGGCGGCUUCCUGGACCGACACUGACGCUGAGGCGCGAAAGCUAGGGGAGCAAACGGG
rnacentral:rRNA from 2 species